UACGUAGGGUGCAAGCGUUGUCCGGAAUUAUUGGGCGUAACGAGCUCGUAGGCGGUCUGUCGCGUCUGCUGUGAAAACUCAGGGCUUAACCCUGAGCUUGCAGUGGGUACGGGCAGACUAGAGUGCGGUAGGGGAGACUGGAAUUCCUGGCGUAGCGGUGAAAUGCGCAGAUAUCAGGAGGAACACCGGUGGCGAAGGCGGGUCUCUGGGCCGUAACUGACGCUGAGGAGCGAAAGCAUGGGGAGCGAACAGG
rnacentral:rRNA from 1 species